AUUGAACGCUGGCGGCAGGCCUAACACAUGCAAGUCGAACGGUAACAGGAAGAAGCUUGCUUCUUUGCUGACGAGUGGCGGACGGGUGAGUAAUGUCUGGGAAACUGCCUGAUGGAGGGGGAUAACUACUGGAAACGGUAGCUAAUACCGCAUAACGUCGCAAGACCAAAGAGGGGGACCUUCGGGCCUCUUGCCAUCGGAUGUGCCCAGAUGGGAUUAGCUAGUAGGUGGGGUAACGGCUCACCUAGGCGACGAUCCCUAGCUGGUCUGAGAGGAUGACCGGCCACACUGGAACUGAGACACGGUCCAGACUCCUACGGGAGGCAGCAGUGGGGAAUAUUGCACAAUGGGCGCAAGCCUGAUGCAGCCAUGCCGCGUGUAUGAAGAAGGCCUUCGGGUUGUAAAGUACUUUCAGCGGGGAGGAAGGGAGUAAAGUUAAUACCUUUGCUCAUUGACGAUACCCGCAGAAGAAGCACCGGCUAACUCCGUG
rnacentral:rRNA from 1 species